GUCUGAUCUCGGAAGACCAUGAACACGCCCGAUCCCGUCUGAUCUCGGAAGCUAAGCAGGGUCGGGCCUGGUUAGUGCUUAGAUGGGAGACGACCUAGGAAGACCAGAUGUUGUAGGCG
rnacentral:rRNA from 1 species